UUUACAAUUAAUUGAUAACAUAUAUAGUUGGUAAAAAGACUAAAUGACCAUUUCACUGAUCAGUAAAAUGUUCACCUAAUCAACAUUCUUUUUUCGAAUUCAUCAUAAAACGUUGACAAAAAAUAUGCUGUUCUUUAAAAAAAAAA